CACACAGACACUGUGGACACAACGAGCGGCAGGUGCUCUUCUUCUACGCUUUGAAAAACCUGAAAACUAUCGGAAAAUACAUAAAGUGAUGUCGGAAUAAAACCGUUCAAGGCUGCUCUGCUGUUCGGUGUUCAUCUUCAUUAAAACGGUCAGAUUUUAAAAAACUAAAGGAUUUUUUUCCAACAGAGGGACAGAUAUUGGUAGGUGGAGACUUCACAUGAAAAUACAGAUUAAUUUGUUUCAAGCCUCCAUUUGUCCUUUGGUUUCCAAACUGGAGGGCUCAGAAAACCUCUCAGCUUCUCAGAACUGAAGAGCACCGCGCCGGCCUCAAAUCCCAAGGCGUGGAUGGAGGGAAACAUUGGCAGAAUGGAGCUCCAGGUUUCCAUGAGUGUUUCCUCAAACACCACCAGAGAACUAAAGGGUUAAACAAGCCAAGGCUUGGCUGGCUGAGGCCUCGAUUGCAAAAUAAGCCAAGGGGAAGCUUUGGUGGUGGCCAAAACGAAAAUAAAUCUGACACCAUUUGACUCAAUUUGAGAAAGGACAUGAACUAUCCAGGUCCUGAAGGACCGACGUCCUGCGACUCACAGAUGUCUCCCUGGUCCAGCACAGCUGAAUCUCCUCCUCAGUGCAGUCAGGUUUCCUGGAGUCCUGCUGAUGGCCUCAUGACGAGGAAGAGCUGAAGUAGAGAGACAUUGACAGGCUGCAGGCCCUCCAGGCCCUCCAGGCCCUCCAGGCCUGGAGCUGCUCACCACUGUAGUGGAUCCGUCCACCCAGAAGUUUCCCAGGUCUUCCCCGGUCUGGUCUGGACAGUUUAGACUAAAUUUGCAGAUCCUACACGGUUCUUCCCAUUUAUUGGAACCACCAAUAAAUGGAUAUGUUUUCAAGCCGAACAGAGCCGGGUGAUUGAUCGGCAGAUGGCAAUUAUUGACUAUAGACUGAGCAAAGGACAGCAUCCCCGUCACCAACACCACCAUUGUGAAGGAUAAAAACGGCGUAGUCAAACCAAAUGGUCCAAACCUUUUCAACUGGGGUGGAAGAGGACAGCAUCACUGGUGGGGGGCAACCCACACUAAACACACCCAAAGUGGACUUGGCACCCAAUGCUGUGUGUACAAAAUGAAUCU